GCCCUUCGGGGUACACGAGCGGCGAACGGGUGAGUAAAGGGGGGUGAUCUGCCCUGUACUUCGGGAUAAGCCUGGGAAACUGGGUCUAAUACCGGAUAUGACCUUCGGUUGCAUGACUGUGGGUGGAAAGAUUUAUCGGUACAGGAUGGGCCCGCGGCCUAUCAGCUUGUUGGUGGGGUAAUGGGCCUAACCAAGGCGACAACGGGUAGCCGGCCUGAGGAGGGCGACCGGCCACACUGGGAACUGAGACACGGCCCAAACUCCUACGGGAGGCAGCAGUGGGGAAUAUUGCACAAUGGGCGAAAGCCUGAUGCAGCGACGCCGCGUGAGGGAUGACGGCCUUCGGGUUGUAAACCUCUUUCGACAGGGACAAAGCGCAAGUGACGGUACCUGUAGAAAAAGCACCGGCCAACUACGUGCCAGCAGCCGCGGUAAUACGUAGGGUGCGAGCGUUGUCCGGAAUUACUGGGCGUAAAGAGCUUGUAGGCGGUUCGUCGCGUCGUUCGUGAAAACUUGGGGCUCAACCCCAAGCUUGCGGGCGAUACGGGCGGACUAGAGUACUUCAGGGGAGACUGGAAUUCCUGGUGUAGCGGUGAAAUGCGCAGAUAUCAGGAGGAACACCGGUGGCGAAGGCGGGUCUCUGGGAAGUAACUGACGCUGAGAAGCGAAAGCGUGGGUAGCGAACAGGAUUAGAUACCCUGGUAGUCCACGCCGUAAACGGUGGGUACUAGGUGUGGGUUUCCUUCCCCGGGAUCCGUGCCGUAGCUAACGCAUUAAGUACCCCGCCUGGGGAGUACGGCCGCAAGGUUAAAACUCAAAUGAAUUGACGGGGGCCCGCACAAGCGGCGGAGCAUGUGGAUUAAUUCGAUGCAACGCGAAGAACCUUACCUGGGUUUGACAUACACCGGAAACCUGCAGAGAUGUAGGCCCCCUUGUGGUCGGUGUACAGGUGGUGCAUGGCUGUCGUCAGCUCGUGUCGUGAGAUGUUGGGUUAAGUCCCGCAACGAGCGCAACCCUUAUCUUAUGUUGCCAGCGCGUAAUGGCGGGGACUCGUGAGAGACUGCCGGGGUCAACUCGGAGGAAGGUGGGGACGACGUCAAGUCAUCAUGCCCCUUAUGUCCAGGGCUUCACACAUGCUACAAUGGCCGGUACAGAGGGCUGCGAUACCGUGAGGUGGAGCGAAUCCCUUAAAGCCGGUCUCAGUUCGGAUCGGGGUCUGCAACUCGACCCCGUGAAGUUGGAGUCGCUAGUAAUCGCAGAUCAGCAACGACUGCGGUGAAUACGUUCCCGGGCCUUGUACACACCGCCCGUCUCGUCAUGAAAGUCGGUAACACCCGAAGCCGGUGGCCUAACCCCU
rnacentral:rRNA from 1 species